UAAAAGAGUAAGUUAGAAUUGUCUAUAUAAAUAAAGUUUCAAUUCUGUUAUUUUAAUGUUUAAAAAUGAUAUUGGAUGAAAUUUUCUUAGCAAUUUUUCUCAGUUAAGUUUAAACCAAUAUUAAGUCAUUUUAUUCUAAGACUAAUGAAUUCGAUUUAGGCUAAACUCAUUGUUGAUUUUAAUUAGCAUAUAUAUGCUUCGAUAUAAAUAUAUUUUAAAUAAUUUGGGCUGAAUUUCCGGUUCGCAUCUAAUGUCAAAUUUCAGAAGAGGGCUAAAAUACUCGUACACUUCAUUAAAUUACCUUUUUUUUGAUUGACAUCUCCCAUAUUUUAUGAAUUUUAUUAAAUUCGGUUGGAGGAGAUUAAAGGUGAUGUCUGGAACUGGAUUUCAUUUUUUUAGAAGUUUGAGUUUAAUGAUGUGAAAUAGCUCGAAGGUUAACAGCUGAUCUCGCAAACGAAUUUACGUCAAUUACCUAAUUUUGAUUUUUAAAUAAAGUAGAAAUUAGCCCAAAGUCAAACUUAUAAUAGAAAUUUUAACAAGCUUACUAAUAAUUGUGAUCUAUAUUUCUUAAUAUUAGAUGAUCAAAUUUAAAUAACUUAAAAGGAUAAGAAAAUACACAGAUUCUAAAGCUUAUGUGGAAUAUUAUAUAUCAAUAUCUUAAAAGGAUACAGAAUUGAUUUACUGCAUUCAUAAGAUGAAUGCAAAACAAAGAAACCAUACAUGAUAUAUUGAACUACAUAUUGAAAACAGGAAACAAAUCUACAGAGAAUAAUAUGAUAUAUCUAAACUCAAGAAUUAUAAUUAUUUUAUUAAAUAAUAUUUUUUAUUGAUAACAUU